CCUACGGGGGGCUGCAGUGGGGAAUAUUGGACAAUGGGGGCAACCCUGAUCCAGCCAUGCCGCGGGUGUGAAGAAGGCCCUCGGGUUGUAAAGCACUUUCAGUGAGGAAGAACGCCUGGUGGUUAAUACCCAUCAGGAAAGACAUCACUCACAGAAGAAGCACCGGCUAACUCCGUGCCAGCAGCCGCGGUAAUACGGAGGGUGCGAGCGUUAAUCGGAAUUACUGGGCGUAAAGCGCGCGUAGGUGGCUUGAUAAGCCGGUUGUGAAAGCCCCGGGCUCAACCUGGGAACGGCAUCCGGAACUGUCAAGCUAGAGUGCAGGAGAGGAAGGUAGAAUUCCCGGUGUAGCGGUGAAAUGCGUAGAGAUCGGGAGGAAUACCAGUGGCGAAGGCGGCCUUCUGAACUGACACUGACACUGAGGUGCGAAAGCGUGGGUAGCAAACAGGAUUAGAUACCCUUGUAGUC
rnacentral:rRNA from 1 species